CUACUACUCCCUCCGCCCGAAAAUACUUGUCAUUGAAAUGGAUGUAUUUAGAUGUAUUUUAGUUCUAGACACAUCCAUUUUGAUGACAAGUAAUUCCGGACGGAGGGAGUAUUAU
rnacentral:pre_miRNA from 1 species